CCCUAGCCCUCAUGGGAGCGGCAUCCUUUUGUGUCUUUCUUUAAGGCACAAAAGAUACAGUGGACAGCAGGAAUAGCU
rnacentral:sRNA from 1 species